GGAGUCUGGGCCGUGUCUCAGUCCCAAUGUGGCCGAUCGACCUCUCAGUCCGGCUACCGAUCGUCGGCUUGGUGAGCCGUUGCCUCACCAACUAUCUAAUCAGACGCGGGUCCAUCUCACACCACCGGAGUUUUUCACACCAUACCAUGCGGUAUUGUGCGCUUAUGCGGUAUUAUCAGUCGUUUCCAACUGCUAUCCCCCAGUGUGAGGCAGGUUACCCACGCGUUACUCACCCGUCCGCCACUAAGUAUUUCAAAUGAUUCUUUGGAAGCAAGCUUCCUCGGUCUCGGGAGAAAUACUCCGUUCGACUUGCAUGUGUUAAGCACGCCGCCAGCGUUUAUC
rnacentral:rRNA from 1 species